GAUGAACGCUGGCGGCGUGCUUAACACAUGCAAGUCGAACGGAAAGGCCACAGCUUGCUGUGGUACUCGAGUGGCGAACGGGUGAGUAACACGUGGGUGAUCUGCCCUGUACUUCGGGAUAAGCUUGGGAAACUGGGUCUAAUACCGGAUAGGAAUCACAUGUGGGUGUGUGGUUGGAAGGCUUUUGCGGUAUGGGACGAGCUCGCGGCCUAUCAGCUUGUUGGUGGGGUAAUGGCCUACCAAGGCGUCGACGGGUAGCCGGCCUGAGAGGGUGUACGGCCACAUUGGGACUGAGAUACGGCCCAGACUCCUACGGGAGGCAGCAGUGGGGAAUAUUGCACAAUGGGCGCAAGCCUGAUGCAGCGACGCCGCGUGGGGGAUGACGGCCUUCGGGUUGUAAACUCCUUUCGUCAGGGACGAAGCGAAAGUGACGGUACCUGGAUAAGAAGCACCGGCUAACUACGUG
rnacentral:rRNA from 1 species